GUCAACCAGGUGGUCGCUGUGUGUUUGUAAUGGACACAGAGAGGAAAGUCCGAGCAUCAAAAGAACGGAGUGCCAGUUAACGGCUGGUGGAGGCGACUUCAAGGAAAGUGCAACAGAAAUAGACUGCCUUAUGAAUUGUUUAAAUGGAAACAUUUUGACGCUUUAAGGCGAUGGUGGAAAGGUAGGGUAAGAGCCUACCGGGUGGUUGGUAACAAUCACUGCUCUGUAAACCCCACUCGAUGCAAGGUUAAGUUUUUCGCAAAUGUGCGUUCUUUCACGCGAGAGCAAAAAUACCGCUGGAGCCUAUUGGCGACGAUAGGUCUGGAAAGAUGACUGCCAAAAACAGAACUCGGCUUAUAGAUUGACUG
rnacentral:RNase_P_RNA from 1 species